GAAAAACUCUGCAACUUCCAGCCAGGCGCGCAGUCUUUUGCCUAGAGAUCCUGGGCACCAGCAGCCCCCUAUCAGACGGACCGGAGAGGGAUCAGCCAGCCCGAUUCUUUUUCUCUCUCUUUCUUCGAGGAGAAAAAGAAGUAAUCAUGAACUCAGUCGAUUUGGGGGUGGCUGCCUUGCAAAAGGGCUUUGCAGAAGCUUCCGGGCAACGGAUGGAGAGGGAACCAAGCAGCCAACAUGUCUUAAAGCAAGACUUGUCCAGCGCGGGGUUCCCUCCUUGGGGCGUCCAGGUUCCCUUGGGGCACCUGCUGCUCUUACUGUCUGCACCAGCAAAAGCUGGGAAUUGGGGUGGGGUGGGGGACCUUAACUUCCAGCCACUUCUGCGGCGAGUCCUCCCCGAUUUCGUCUCUCUUUUGCCUUCCGGAAUGAACCCCUUUCUUUCAAACUUGCCCCAGAGGGCGAAACAACCGAGAUCAAGCUCGCUGCGUAGUUUUGGAGGGUAAGUGUCUGUGAAGAGCGGGGGCGGGGGGGGGGGGAGGCGGCGUGGAGAACGCAGCAACCUCGGAGGGCAGAGCAGGUGGUAGAAAAGCCGCAAAGGCUGGCGGUGGGUGGGGGGUGGCGAGAAAGAGACAAAGAGAAAGAAAAAGUGUGGCAGCUUCUGCCAAAGCAACGCGUGCGUUCUUUUGCAUCGAGGCAGCCUGGAGUGGAAAGGGUUACAGAGGCAUUUGGGGCAGGUGCGGGUGGUGGUGGGGAGAGAGAUCCUGUCCGACUGCUGGGAUUCCACCUUCCGUAACCGGGGAGCGCGCGUGCUUAAGAGUCGAGUUGCGCGUGAACUCCUGGUGGCCAGCUGCGAAGCGCCGGCUGCCCGCAACGAUUCCUUAAGAGUCCGGCGCAACUUCCUUCGAGGGGACUGGCUCUCUCCUAGGCAGCGUGCUUCGGCGCUAGCAAGCCGAAGGGAUCCGGGAUCGGAGCUAGGAGGAGCGAGCACGCCCGAUCCGGCUUUCCUGCUCACUGCCCCCCUUCCUCCGGCUGGAAGGAUCAUCUGGUCCCUCUCCGCCCCCUGGCGUGAAUUUCAUCCGCUAGGACUCGCGCUCCGCGCACCCCACGCCGCUUCCCAAAGCAAAGCGCCCCCCCUGCAGGCGACUCGGGCCCCUUGCAGCCCUGUGAGGCUCAGGCUAAUAACUCCUCCUCUUCCUCGCUCUCUGCAAGUCCUCCUCACCUACACUGAGGUUCAUUUAGAAACAUUUCGCGCUGCACCCCGCCUCUAAUAUAUAUGUAUAUUUUAAUAUAUUUAGAAGGACUUCCCUAUUGCUGUUACGCAGCGUCCCUUAAUUUCCAACACCCCCUUCCAUGAUCAGUUGGCCACUUUCUGAAUUUCGCACCUCUACUUACUAGUUUCCCGAAAAAAGCCAAAAUAAUAAUAAUAAUGGUGGUCCGGAGGGGGGUGGGGAGCAGAUCCCAUAACCAAGCAACCCUCUUUCGACGUGGGGCUGCGCGGAUGGGCUUGUGAUUUGUAGGAUUGCUCUACUUAGACCCUGCCUCCUCCUUGCUCUCCAGCCACUCUAAAGUCUCUCCCCCUUUUUAAGCAGCGAUUCCUUUCCAUCCGCGGCGGUGUGUGUUACGCGCGCGUGUGUCUUGCUUUCUCCCUCCCGAUCUCCCUGGAGAGAGAGAGAGAGAGCGAGAGAGAGAGCGAGGGGGGAAGGAAACUCUACUCCCAAGCCCCGUCCAGAUGUCGAAGAAACGCAAAACCCCCGAGGGUGGAGGAUCCGGCCUCCCCGAGGAGGAACCCAAAACCCAGUUGGGGGACAGCGAAGAGCAAGGUAGGAGGGGGGCGGAAAGCUGGUUCGCCUGCUAGGGGAAAAAAUUAAGAGUGGGAUCCCAGCAUAGGAAUGCAUCUUUGAGCCGAUCAGAUCCCCCACCAGCUGCUUGAGUUGGGCUGGCGACUGUCAAAUUUAGGCCAGAUUCCCUCUAGUCCAGGCUCUGUGAUUGUAUAUAUACUUCUAUUGUGUGUCUCGGGGUACUGUUGAACUUUUGGGAGUGAAGGGUGAAAAGGCAGGAGAGGAAACAAAAGGGAUGAUUGAUUGAUUGAUUGAUUGAUUGGCUGAUAAAGUGAUGGGAGGAGGGGCUGCAGGGUGGCUGAUCAAUCGUUCUUCCCUCCCCAGCCCUUUAAUUUCAGUUGCAUAUGGUGUGCUCCUUUCAGUCUGUCUCUGGAGCAUUGGGAAAAUAUUAUAUGGAGACCAGUAUGUUUGGCGGUGUUGUGGGAGUGGGGGUAGCUGGUGAGUGAGAGUGCAUUUCUCUGUGGGAAAGACUGGUGGAGGGUCUCCUUACUUCCUCCUUUGGCAAAUCCUCCAUCUCUGCCAAGGUGCUAGUUGCAAGAUGCCGAUUGCUGCAAAUAUUGUACUUGCAUUGCACUUGAGAGAAAGUUGUGGGUUUUUUCUUUGCUGCAUCCCCCCCCCUUGUGUGUGGGGAGCUGCCAUGCACUUUAGCAGCUGGUGUGGGAAAGCAGAUCAGCCCUGCCCUCCUUUGAUCUCUUAGGCACUUUUGCAGUUGUUUGUUCUUUCAGUUCACCUGCUCGUUUUCUUUCUCUUUUGGUGCUUAUUCUGCUUUUCUGGGGCCUAGGUUUCACUCCAAGCCAAGGCACAGUCUUGAAGGGCUGGUCAUUACAAUGCAGAGGAGGGAUUGGGGUGUGUUGGGGGGUCAGUGGUCCAAGCGAUGAUUGUGAAGAGCAAGCUGGAGAUUGUGUGUCCCCCGUGGACUGUAAAUGUGUUUCUGCCCAUGGCAGAAUUGAGACGGUGCAUUUGCCUUGUUGGCAGGUGAAAAACCUGAGACUGGAGCCGAAAGAGAGGGAAUGCAUGUCAUCCAAUAUGGAGUCAGUUGUCCUUGUUCUCAAAAUGUUGAGGAUCAAAAUGCCGUCAAAGCCGAUCAAGACUUGGGAGAUUCAGUCUCCACCAUGGAUGUGUUUCUGGGGGGUGAUAUGAUGUGGGUUUUCGUCUGUCUUCAUUGCAUCAAGCCCAGUUUUUGGUGUGCUCUGCAAACAUUUUCACAAUGACGCAGUCAUGGCGUUCCACCAUUUGCUUUGAAGGGGCUUCUGGAAGGUUUUCGUUCUUUGUAUUAGAGUCCUUCAGCAUCAAAAUUAAUGAAAGCCAUCCUUUCCAAUCCUAAACUAUUUGUCUGUGAAAACAAGUCCAGUCACUUGCAGGCAAACCCAAACCUUCUGUGCAUAUUUCUAUGCAGUUUAUUUUCUUUGCAGUUGCUUGGAAGUGAAUAAUUUUUUCAGAAAACCUUCCUUCCUUCAUUGAACAGAGACCUGAAAGCUAGAUUGCAAGUGAAGUGCUAUUUACACUACUGGGUUGCUUGCAGUGAACAUGGAAGCUCACGGAGAACACUGGCGCGGUGCAAAUGUGAUGGUUUCAAAACCGCUGCUUGUCAAGAAACCUCAUGUAAUGGCGGACAAAAGUACAUUAUGUUAGCAACAACACCUUUAUUUGGAAACAAAGUAGAACUGAUGAGCAUACUUCCUCAGAUUUGCAAAUGUUUAAUUAGCGAGUGAUCGCCUAGCCUCUGCUCUGCUCACCUAAUUUCCGACUCACUUCCAUUGCAGCCAAGGUAUUGAGCAUGGUCCAGAUGAUCUUUUUCAAAGCCUCAAUGGCUGUUGGUCCUUUGUAGGCUGGAGGAUUCAAGCUCCAAAUGCGUCAGCUCAGCUCUAAUGCUGGGCAGUGGUGAAACAAGUGUCUGCAUGGCACUCAGUGCCAGUGAAUGCUACAAGUACUCAUUUCAGAGAGCAGAUAAAGCUUGUGCACCUAUAUUAUGUGUAUCCACUGCAGAUUCAUGUACGUUCAUUGAUACUGUAAAAUCAUGGAACUAAACUUAGAAUGCUUGACUUGCCACACUUAUUUUUACAUAAGCAUAUUUAAAAGUCUUUCUUCCCAGUUGACAGGAAAAAUAAUUCUGUUUGCUAAUUUUGUGAAAAUGUAAUUGUGUAAACCAUUUGAAGUAUAUAGGAUGCCACAAUAUCUGUGUGUGUGUGUGUGUGUGUGUGUGUGUGUGUGUGUGAGGGGGUGUUCUCUUUUAUAGUACCACUAUGGAUUAUCCUAAAAUGAUUUGCUGUAUACAGUGGUACCUCGGGUUAAGAACUUAAUUCGUUCCGGAGGUCCGUUCUUAACCUGAAACUGUUCUUAACCUGAGGUACCACUUUAGAUAAUGGGGCUUCCCGCUGCUGCUGUGCCGCCGCACAAUUUCUGUUCUCAUCCUGAAGCAAGGUUCUUAACCCAAGGUACUAUUUCUGGGUUAGCAGAGUCUGUAACCUGAAGCGUCUGUAACCCGAGGUACCACUGUACAUACAAAACACUUGUGUUUUACAGAGACAAAAUACUUACUAGGCUCCAACAUGCAUUACAUUGGGAUUAUUCAACCCAAUGAAAGUCUGCCAACAUAAAUUUCAAAUCUACAUAGGGCACGUAUAUCCCUAGUUUUGUUUAAUUUAGACAGGUGAUAUUAUUUAUUAACCCUGCUAGGAUUUCUAGAAAUUGCAAAAAUGCAGGGGGACUGCAAAAACCUUCCUGCUUUGCAUGUAACAACAGGAAAAGAAUAGAUGAAGGCUGGAGAUUGGAGCAACCGAUCAAAGCUUUGCCGUUGUAAUUCUUUACAGUAUUUGGUAAAUAGAGGGUAUAAUCUGCUAGUAAGCAAAUUGACUUUUUCUAAGGACAUGUGUGGUUCUUAAGUAUCUCUGGCCAACAGCACUUAAUUCAUACAUAACAUCACAAUGAGUUCUCCUCUCCUUGCCUUUUAUUAUAUUAACAAGCCCAUGCCGUAUAAUUUUGACAUCCUGAAUCCUGCUUUUCUGCACAUGCAACAAAGCAGACGACUGAACGAUGGUCUGCUGAAUGCUGAUGGUGCACACACAGAAUCUCUCUUAGCGUUCUGAGCUGGAGAAGAACAGGAUUUGAUUCAUAAUAAAGCCAAACAUGAUGGACUGGACAAAUUCAUAUACUGAACUAGGGGCUGUUUAUGAUGAACUUCAAUGACAUAACUAGUUUAUAUACAUAGAACUUAUUACUAGUUAGAUUUGUGUGCUCCAAAUAAUCCAAGGAGACUCGGCUGAAUAUCUGAUGUUCAGAUAUUACUGCUUUUUUAUUACUGGAUAUUUGCAAGUAUGAAUGAUUCUUUCAGCUUAAAUAUGAGAUUAAAAGUAGUGUCUGAAAUCAGCCAUCUAUGAGAACAGGAAGGCAUUAGCUAAAUGAAGCAAAUGUUUAAAAUGAAUGUAGUCUCUACUGCAGCAGGACAACAUUAACUUCUUCAAAAAAUGUGCAAUAUUUAUUUUGUGUAUCCUAUCCUUCCACUGUCAAAACAGUGCUUCCCCCAUUAUAAAAAAGCAAAAUAAUAAUAAUAUAAUAAUAAUAAUUUCAAUAAAAUCAGCUUUUUAUUUGUCAUUAAGAUUAGACAACUCCAGUGGCAAGAUCAGCUGCUAAAAUUUCAACUAGGCAAGCAAAAUAUAAGAUGGUCAAUGUUAUACAUCUCAAACAGUCUUGCGUCUGUUUAGUUGGGAUGCAGAAAUUGGCCUUUCUAUGGUCCUUCAGUUAAACUUGGCCCAAGGCAUUUGGGAAUUUAAAGGUAUUUACCAGCACCCAAAAUUAUUCCCAACUGGUAACCAGUGCAUUGUUGCAAAAUGGUGCAACCGAGCACCCACAAACAGCUGAAACAUCUGGAGACUUUUGAGAGACAGGUGGCCUCCUGUAAAGUCUCACAUCUAGAAUGCAAAAAAUAAAAUAAAAAUAAAAAAUCAGUGUAGCCAUCUGAUGUUCAUCUUAUGUCUCUCGCAAUGCAGACAAACCCUUACUGUGGUCUUAAGGAGAUCAGCAUAAAUUUUUUAAAAAUGUUAGCGUAAUAUUUUAGGGCAGCUUUUGGUUAAAGCAUCUCAUUUCCAUGUAGAAUUUAACUAGAGGAGUAUAAACAGCAUUCCCAGGACAGCUUAGUUUGAUGGCAGCUCUUGCUUCCUUAACACCCAAAUUUCUGGAAGCAUUCACAUAGGUCCGGAUGUCCAAGGGCUGAGCAGUUCCUGGGCUGAUCAUGUUGUAUAUGGGAUUCACUUAGGCACCUCAUCUGGCUCUGUUCCAUGCAGGGCAUCCUGCCUAUGGUGUUAAGGAUGCAGCAAAGUCAGAGGUCUCUGGCUGCAGGCAUAAACCAAGCUCUAACACAUAACGGUGGGCUUCUGAGGGCUGAAGUGGAUGUGGCGCUAUGUGUGCACAGUUUUUUAAAAUGCAAAUAGAAGCUGCUGAGGGAGACUGAUUAUUACUGGGAUCUGGAACAGCUUUCUUGGGUGGCCUGGAGCCACUAGUGGACUCUAGUUUCCUGGAAGGUGUGUUGCUGUUACCAGGAGGGGUAGUUGUUGCUGUGCAGAUGCACUGGCAACGUGGCGCCAUCUCCUCAAGUGAGCUCCUUCAGCUGGAAUCACAGCAGGGGAAGUGGAGAUUAACGCUUUCCUUGCCUCCUGUUGUCUAUAGAAAAACCACUUCUUUGAAGUGGCAAUUUGCACUGUAAGGAAACCGCCCCCCAAUUUUUAGUUACGGUAGUUUUUUAAAAAUCUCCCCUCAUUUGAUGCCACUGGGGGAUUCCCACUCCAGAGUAAAUACUAGCUUCAGAAAAUGGGUUUUCUUCCUGUUAGCAAUAGAGAAAGAAAGUGUUGUACUUUCCCCAAUGUCCAGUCAGCUCUGAUUGCAUUAUUCACCAGCCUCCGCCAGAAGCUCUGUCUACAUUUUUCAAAAUACAGUGGUACCUCAGGUUACAUACGCUUCAGGUUACACACUCCGCUAACCCAGAAAUAGUGCUUCAGGUUAAGAACUUUGCUUCAGGAUAAGAACAGAAAUCGGGCUCUGGCGGCACGGCGGCAGCAGGAGGCUCCAUUAGCUAAAGUGGUGCUUCAGGUUAAGAGCAGUUUCAGGUUAAGAACGGACCUCCGGAACGAAUUAAGUACUUAACCCGAGGUACCACUGUAUGUUAAAUGCAGAAAUGCAUUUAAUGCCACAUCUAGUUUGACCCUGACUUUUUCCUCCCCUUUCUCGUAGUACAGGAAAGUAUUAUGAGUACCUGAAACUUGUAUGGCUUUAAAAAGGGAUUAGAAAAAUUCAUGGAGGGCAAGGCUAUCAGUGGGCACUACUCAUGUUCUCUUCAUACUGGUGUGGUGUUGAGAGCCAGUGUGUAAUGGUUAGAGUGCUGGAAUAUGACCUGGGAGAUCAGGUUUCAAAUCCCCACUCAGCCAUGAAGCUCACUGUGUGACCUGCUCAGAAGCAAGUCCUAUUAAAUUCAGUGGAGCUGACUCCUAGGUAAGUGUGGUUAGGGUUGCAGCCUUUAUCUGGAUCCAACCCAUGGUGUGACUGCAGCUGUGCCUUUUGGCUUGUGGUGAGAGGUUGCAGUUGUUUGUUCUAACCUGUUGACAAAAGGGCAGAAUAACUAAAAUAUUCCAUGGCUAACUGAGCAUAACCAGUGCUUUUUCCUGGUGGGACGCAGGGGGACGCACACCCCUAAACAUUUUGUGAAUCUAAGUUUGGCCUCAUUGAGGGGCAGUAUGAGUAGGAAAAUAUGAGUAGGAAAAUGGGAGUACCUCUAAACAUUUUUUUAAGGAAAAAAAGCACUGUACAUAACUAUUGGUUUUGUAGCAUGUUUAUUUAUAACGAGGCUUAUCCUGACAUUGAUUCUUUCUCCUUUAUUUUCAAAAUAGUUUGCCUUAUAUGUAUAACAGUAGCUGGUUGAGUUCUGUAAUAUCCUGCAAGUUAUCAAAAUAGUGCCAAUUGUUCUUGGUAAAGUAAAACUAUGAAGAACACAGACAAUAUUUGAAUGUUGUGGUAGUGGUGAAUGCAGCUAUGAAUAUUUUGUUUAUCACUAGCCUUUUAGACGAACCAGAGCAAUUUACAUUCCACCGGCUAGGGUUGUAGUUUUCAGUCCGGACUCAGGCACAUGAGUUUUCUUAGAAACCUCAUUUUUAAAGCAAUCUUUGUCAUCAGAUCCCAGGAAUAGAUUGAGAGGAAGAGUGCAGUAGCCAAAUUUGCAAGUCUGCUUUGGAACUGGGCAAGACAUUCAGCAGUCAGGGAUCAGCUGCCUUGAACUUGGCAGUCUAGAAAUUUUGCACUGGAUUGCCAAUAAACCAAAAGACUAAAAUCUGUGUUUGGAAGAAAUCAUACAGCUUUGAACGAACAUUUUAUGCAGCAUCCUGCUUUUCUCUCUCUUUUUUUUGAGGGAGGAGCUUAUGUUGUACAAGAUUGGAAAAAGUAGUGUAGCAGAUAAAGCAUUGGUCUUGAUUCCCACCCCCUCUGCACCUUCCUAUACAGUAUCUAAAAUGUUGCCAAGCAGUUUUAGUGUUCUUAUUUGCUUCCUCCCUGCCUGCCUGUUCAUCAGUAGCAUUUUAAAUUCACCUUUCACCAAUAUAACUAUUACUACUGUUAUCGUCAUUAUUUUGCUAUUCUUAUUUAAAGCAGUGACAACAGUCCAGCAAGUUAAGAGCAGGUAAAAUACCGGUAAAACACAAAAUAAACAUUUCUGACAUAAAAGUACAACCAAUUAACAGCAGCAAAAUAGUAUCCCAUAAAUGCUUGGGAAAAUAGAGGUUUUAAGCUGGCGUCGGAAUGUCAGCAAUGUUGUUGCCAGUCAUACUUCUGUGCAGAGGGAAUACUCCAAGUAGGGCACCCUCACCAGGAAGGUUUCUGGUGGUGGGACAAUGAAAAUAUUAUCCCCGAGGUGCUAGAUGCAAGAAUUGAGACAGGCAUCCUGUUUAUUGCACCCCAACUCCUGGGCUAAACCUCUUCACAUCUUUAGGCCAAGGUCUUUAUUCUCUAAAAAAACUUUAGGUCACUGAAGAAAGAGAAUGGGUUGCUCUCCUUGACUUUGCAAUUCUGCAAUGGAUUCGGAUUGUUGCUUUUAACAUAGUGUUUAUUUUGUUGUUUUAUGUAGUCUCCAAGCCAUUUCAGGGCUUAGUACAUGGGGCACAUCUUUCUUUUUAACUGUAUUAAUAAACAGGCUGUGAGGGCUCUUCAUUGAAGUGUAUUCACUAAGGUGAAUUCAAGCAGAGUGAGCCUAUAAUCUGAAUAAACUACAGAAUGAGUCUUUGGAACACUUCUGUGUUUUGUUUCUCUUAAAUCUCUGUCUACAGUGCCCACUACCUUUCCCACAAAUUGCUUUUAAGUUCUUCAUAACAGGAAUUAUAUCACAUUUUGUCCGAGACGUACCUUCUUUGACUUUUUCCUUCUUCCAAUUCAUUCUGAGGAAAGGAGCUGAGUCACUGAGAGGCAAACCUAGCAACUGUUGAAUAAGACACAAGCACAGAUAAUACUAACGUGUAAACAGGAGUAGCGCUUACAGUUUUGCCACUUCACUUUUUUGGAAAAUAAUGAAAUGUGCCUAAACUGAGGUUGUUACAACUUUGAAUAUAAAAUGUGCUUAAGGUCCAACAUUGAGCUACUCACCCCCUACUGUCUGUUGCUUCUGAAAGUAUAUUGAGAUCAUCAUUUUUUUGUGCUCUGUUUUCAUAAACUGUAAACUGUUUUCUGACACGCAGUCAAAUUAUUUGGUAACUUCUUGCUGGCAUUGCUUUUGACACAUUUACAAAUUCAGGGUUACCAGACCUCCAAGUGUCCCUAUUUUCCAGGGGCAAUCCCGGAUUUACAGAAGCUGCCCUGGUUCCUGAUUUGAUUCCAGAAUGUCCCACUUUUCCUUAGGAUGUCUCUAGUUUCAUUGGAUAAAUGUUGGAGUGUAUGGAGUUAUGUGUCCCCUGAGCCAAGGAGAGAAGUAACUAUACAACUUUUAGAAGACAUCUGAAGGCAGUCCUGUGUAGGAAAGGUUUUAAAAAAAUGUUUAAUGUUUUAUUAUGUUUGGAAGUUGCCCAGAGAUGGGUGGGGUAUAAAUAAUAAAAUAAUCGUUGUUGUUGUUGUUGUUGAAUAGGACAUCCCUAUUUUCAUCAGAGAAAUGUUGGAGGGUAUGUAUUACUUUGUAGGCUUGGGAAAUGGGAUUUGAUUUAUGAAAUGGAAUUUGGUCUUCAACCAGUUGGCUUGGACCGCUACCAGGCCGCAACCUGUUGUAAAGUGGCCCACCACAGCAGCACUACCACCAUAAAUGUACAUGGCUAAGGAUGGAUCUGGGUUCUGAAAAGGCUGAAGAUUACAGGUUUCGGUGAACAAAAUAGUUCAGGUAAAAUUUAACUCUAAUGGUACUGAGCUGUGAUUGCAAAUAUUGCAAUCUCAUGAGUAUUUAUUAGAAUGUUAGUCUUAAUUUUUCUUUUAAAAUGCCUGUAAUUAGAUUCUGAGCCUUCCCUUUAACUGUUUUUGUUUGCCUCUGGAUUUUGUAUAAGGUUUUGUCAAACUACAAGGCAUAGUGAGCGUAGUGUAGUGGUUAGAGUAGUGGGAGAUGAGAGUUCAAAUCGCUGGUCAGCCAGGAAGCUUACGGGUUGACCUUGGGUCAAUCGCUAUCGCUCAGCCUAAUUUGCCUCAUAGAAUUGCUGUGGAGAGAAAAAAAAAGGGGGGGGGACAACGUAUGCCACCUGGAGCUCCUUGGAAGAAAGGUGAGGUGUAAAUGUCAGAACAUUUUUUUUUAUGCUCAGAACUAUUUUUUUCUAGACUGCUCUAGAAAAACUAUAUUGAGAAAACUAGGAUAACGAAGAACUCAUAGAAUCAUAGAGUUGUAGAGCUGGAAUGGACCAUGAGGGUCUUCAGUCCAACCCCUUGAAAUGCAGGAAUCUUUUUGGCCAACGUGGGGCUCAGAAUUAAGACCCUCAGAAAUACCCAGAAAAGAAAAGCAUGAUGACUGCUGGCUGGGAUUAGGGACAAGAACAUUAUUGACGUAUUGCUGUACCUUGGCUUUCAGUUUAUUUAUUUUGUCUGCAAAAAUGUCUACACCACCAAUAUUAAGAAAAAAUGUCAUGGUGACAAACAGCAUAAAAUCAACAAUUAAAUUGCAUCCGUAAAACAAAUGAAUACAGGACAAUUCUGUGGAUCAAAUUAAGACAUCAACAUGCCUGGAUCAGCUCUCGGGGCAAGGCGAGAUGAGCAGCUGUGGACCAGGUUCCCUGAAAGGCUGACUUCUCCUCCAAUGCCUGGUAAUGGUGUUAAAAUCAACCAGUGAAAUCUGGUUAGUCUUGUCAGUUGCCACAGCCUAAUGGUUAUGGAGGUGGGAUUUUUCACUGGUUGGCCCUGGUGUUAAAUGCACUCCCUACUGAAAUACAAGAGGUCUCAUCUGUAUUGUCAUUCUGUUGGCUUUGAAGAUGCAUCGGUUUUCACAGGCAUUCCUUUGAUCUCUCUACCUCGGCCCUUCAAAAUUGCUGUGUUUUUUUCAUAGGAUUCUUUUAUUCCGUAUUUUAAUUAUGGGCAUUUUUGUUGAAUGCUUGCCUUUUAUACUUGUAAAACCACAAAGAAGCCUGUUUUGGCAUUUCUAUAAAUUGUUUAUUAUUAGUAAUACUGUAAUGAUAACAGGUGAGUGUCUAAAUGGCAAUACUGUAGGUGCCUGACAGAUGUUCACUAGAUACACGAUCUAAAAGGCACGUGCUGCCACACUAACGGCCCUGGUCUCGGAGGAUUUAAGACAAAUCUCAGGAGCAUACAGCACUACUAGGAGUAUCUCUCUUGAAGUUCAAAGUGACAGGGAUACAUAAGGUAAGGCAUUCCAGCAGUAGAGGAAGUUUUCUGAAAACAUUGUAGUUGUACUUGUGUAUUAAUUGACAAGAGGAGCUGAAUGUGGAACUGUUCUUUCUGAAACUUUGUAAUCAGAUAUUAGUGUCACUUUUCCUAUCUUAAUUGUCAUUCAUCCUAUCUUGAAUUGUGGUCCCAUCAUUUUACAGGUUAAGGGUCCAACCAUAUGUAACACUAAAUCUGUUUUUGCACUUAACAUACAUGUUCAUGUUUCAAUAAAAAAUAAAAAAUAUGCAAAUGGCAGCUGCUGGACAUGCUGGCAAUUUUUGGGAUCCCAGGUACAUAGUACCCAAGACUAGUCAGCUUGGGUCAGCAUCUGAGACAAUAUAUCCAGAAGUUCCUCUAACCCUCACUGAGAGUAAAAAAAACAACACAAUAAUAAUACGUUAAACCAAAGGAUUAGUAGUUUGCUGCUCUUUUGUGACAUCCAAAGGCAGCUACUUCACUUUGCAUAAAGGUAGGACUGGCCAUGUAUAAAGCCAGCUCUGAAGGGGUGUGAGGUGGGGAACAUCUAAGUAGGUGAAAUGUUUAGACUUCAGGAUAUAAACAGAGGGUACAUAUUAGAUUUUCACUUGAAAAGUAAGCAUUCUCCUCCCCUUUGGUAUAUCUGCUUGCUUUUUAUUCUGCUCCUUGUAUGGAAGUUGUAUGGCACCCCACAAUAUGAGUAUCAUGAAGUGCGAGCCUGUUAGGUUAUUUCUUCCCAAGAAGUCAAGCAAUUUAUGUGUGUCACAGCAGGGCUGGCAUGGCAUAAUUUCCAUAAAAUCCAAAACCUCCCUAGAGGAACAUCAUUGCUUAUUCUGAAACAAAACAUAAAACUUUCUGUAAAGUCUUGUCUAAAGUUCAGCAGACAUUCGCCAAAUGUAAGUUCAUACCUAGAACUCCCCCCCCCCAAAAAAAAAACUUUUAUGAAGUGGAUUUUGCCUUAUUUUGGCUGAAUUUCAGGGCACUGCUGUCAAUCCCAAAUUUGGUUAGGAAGACUUCAGUUAAAAACAUUCAUUCUGGACCAAGGGCAAAUAAAGAUGUUGUAAGAUUCAGUGAAAUGGAAUCUUUUACAGGAUAUAAUAAUUCUUGAUUUUAUUUGGGAGAAGGUUUGCACUUAUACUCAAAUUAGAUAUAUUUAAAUAUAAUUCCAUUUGUGCAUAGGGUUCGGAACAUAGGGAACUGGCUGGGGCCACCUAGCUCAGCACUGUCUGCACUGAAUGGCAACAGCUCUUCAGGAUUUUAGGCAGGCAUCACUGACCCUCCACAUGGCCCUCCCCUCCCCAUUUAUUAGUAAGAAGGUUUAAACCUGGCUUGGACUGGACGUGUCCACCCUACUUGCUCAUGAGCCAGUGUGGUGUGAAAACCUCUAUUUGACCAUGAAGUUCCCUGGGUCACCUUAGGCCAGUAGCUGCCUCUCAGCAUAACCUACCUCACAGGGUUGUUGUGGGGAUUAAAUGAGGGAGAGAACCAUGUAUGGUAACUUGAGCUCCUUGAAUAAAAAGGUGGAAUGUAUAUGCAAUAAGAAAAUAAAUGAGUUAAAGAGGGGAAAGUAAAUUUGUCACCUCCUGUGGCAUGACUGGAAGAACUUGUGGCCUCCAACUGUUUGACUCUAGUUCUUUUGAUUGCAAACGUUCAUUUUAGUACAGGCAGGAAUUGGUGGUGGUCAUGUGUCCUAGUUUAUUGGUGACAAUCCUUUGUUUGAAGGGCUGGCCAGGCCCAAGCCUGGUUACAAGAUAAAGGAUCCUAAGGAGGGAAAGCAGGAGGUGCCUUGAAGUUUCCCAUCAGCAGCUGGACAGCAAACUAAGCAGGCUGUCCAGUUUCCCCUUGCUGUGGUAAGUUAUGCAAUGUGCUUAAAUUAUAGCAAUUAUUUCUAAAUUUGCAUCUAUCUCCAUAAAUUAGCAUUUCCAAGUUUUCAGCAAAUCUGUAUUUCCCUUAGUGGAGACUCCUAGUGGAGUUUCAGAUUUUGUCAAUAUGAAGCAGACAAACCAAAUUUACCAAAAAUAAAUGGCUUAACCCUGUCUCACCUCCUGGUCAGGAAAUAGAUAAGUGGAACAUGAAAGUACCAGGCCCAAGUGACCUGAAAUCUUUUUACGGUAGAUCAAAAUGCCUCUAUAGACCAGGUAGGUAGCCGUGUUGGUCUGACGCAGUCGAAAUAAAUUUAAAAAUUAAAAAUUGUCCAGUAGCACCUUAGAGACCAACUAAGUUUGUUCUACGUAUAAGCUUUCAUGUGCAUGCAUACUUCUUCAGAUACAGUGAAACAGAAGUCACCAGACCCUUAUAUAUAGUGGGAGGGUGGGAUGGGGUUUUUCUCUGAAGGGUAGUAGGAGAUGGGUGAUUGACUCAAUGGGUACGGUAAACCUGUUGUCUCAUUGUCUCAUUACAUAUGCUAAAGCUAUUUUUGGUCAUCUGCAGACCAUUCCUUGCUUUUUCCUGUAGGACUAAUUGCAGUCGUCAACAGGUUUACUAUACCAACAUUUGCUCUUGCUUUUCAGCAGUUACGUUCUGUUCAAUCAACUCUUUGAAAUAAAGAGCAGUGUGCUAUACUACACGGUUCUGCAUCCCCAUUCAUUUUGCUUCCAUAGAACAUCACAGCACAUGCUUCUCUUUCUUCAGGGUUUUGGAGCACAUGUGAAAAACCUCCUAUGUCUGAUAAUUUGACCUUCUUGUUUUAACCACCCAAGCAAGAAGGAAAUAUUAAUUAGGGAAUUGUUUUUCUCAACUACGGAACAAGUUGGCUUGCUUAACUAAAUAAUGACUGGAUUCAUAGCAUGUCAUAUGUAGGAGACUGCAGUGCUGGCAACUGUAGCUGCCCACUGAUUCAUUCCCAUCUGUUCUUGCCUUGCAAAACAGUAGGUGAAACAGAGAAGGAAACAGAAUGCAAUACCUCUGCAUAAUAUGGGAUUGGCAGGUUCCUAGUGGUAUAGACGAAUUUAGCUGGGAGUACAGGAAAACAUUGGACGCGGGUGGUGCUGUGGGUUAAACCACAGAGCCUAGGGCUUGCCGAUCAGAAGGUCGGCGGUUCGAAUCCCCGCAACGGGGUGAGCUCCCGUUGCUUGGUCCCUGCUCCUGGCAACCUAGCAGUUCAAAAGCACGUCAAACUGCAAGUAGAUAAAUAGGUACCACUCCGGCGGGAAGGUAAAUGGCGUUUCUGUGCUCUGCUCUGGUUUCACCAGAAGUGGCUUAGUCAUGCUGGCCACAUGACCCAGAAAAACUGUCUGUGGACAAACGUCGGCUCCCUUGGCCAUUAAAGUGAGAUGAACGCCACAACCCCAGAGUCAUUCAUGACUGGACUUAACAGUCAGGGGUCUUUUACCUUUACCUUUUUACAGGAAAAUAUAGGCUUAAACUAGCUUUUAACAGAGUCCAGACUUGAAGUAGCUGUUAGAGACAGUAGUGCUAUAGCAGUAAACUUUGAAGAGUAGCAUGACAGCCCUUAGGAAUAUAUGAAGCUGUCUUAUACAAUGUCAAGACACUCACCCAUCUAGCUAGACUGGCAGUGGCUUCCUGGGGUUUCAGGUAGAAGAAAUGAAAGAGAGAGAAGCUUGAAUACAGCAAGAAGGAGAAAACACUGAAAGGAGAAAAAAGGUGGCUGUUUUAAAUGGUGGAAAAAGUUUGUGUAAAGUUUGUGGAGGUGACAUGGGGGAAGUGGCAGUUUUUAAAAAGUUUGAGUAUGGCAAGAAGGGAGUUUAGAAAAGUAUUGUGUUAGCUUUUUUGGUGCUGGCUUUGUGUUGCAUCCAUUUCUGUUAUUGGUCCUUGGAACUGUGUUAUAAGCAUCCAACACCAGAUGGCGCUGUAGAACUGUCAUCUAUCACCAUUGAGAUUUUCCAUUAAGAGCUUUAUAAUGCAUUUUUCAGUAACUUAUUUUUUUAUGUGUAUAGAUCGAGCCCUUGUUUGUUUUCAUAUAAAAUAACCCAUCAGUAUUCCUCCAUCCCUGCUUUUCUCAAAUGUUCUUUCCUCAAGCAAUGGGCUAAGGAAGGAGAACUGGAAGUGAGAGCAGUGGCCAAGUCCAUCACUUCCUUCAACAAUAUUAAAUUACUAAACAAUAAUUAAAGCUGAUCCAUAGCUGUGCCGCUUUAUUCCCAGGCAAAUAUGUUUUCUCUCUCUGUGUGUGGUGGUGAAUAUUAUUCAGGAGGACCUGGAAUUCUUCAGCAGUUUGGAGGAAAUCCCCCCUCCCCCGCUACUGACAUUUUGGACAUUUUUAUCUGGAAAAUCUUUUCUUAGACCUUUUUGAGGAAGCCAGCCCUAAGGAAAGUGUUGCAUGUGGGAACCCCAUGCAAAAGGUAGAAACCUGUCCCUGGAUGGCUUUGCCUCCACUGUUGGAGAUCCCCUGAAAAAAUGCAGUCCAUCACUGGGCCCUGGAUUAGAACUCCUUCUGCUAUACUUCCCAUGAGAAUGAUGUGGAUUUCUCUGUUUUUUAACACAAAGCUGAAAUAGCAAGUUUAACUGUGCUGUCAGGGCCGGCCCACUCACCCAUGAGGCAAGAUGAGGCGACCGCCUCAGGCAGCAAGGUCCACCAGGGCCGCAGAUCCUGAUAUUUAUCUUUCUUCCACUCCUUGUUCCUGAUGUAGAUCUUCCCUGACCCCUUCUUCGCUGAUGGGGGCGGGGUGUGUGUGCCAUUUUGAAGUCUGCCUCAGGUGCCAAAAUGUAUUGGGUCGGUCCUGUGUGCUGCUAUUCUUAGACAUACAACAGACAAGUUAAUUUGUGGCUAAGACACUCUACCAGCCCUUAUUUCAAGUGACUAAAUCUUCAAAGCCUUGGUUUUAAAUACAUGAGAAGUUUUGGCUAAACUGUGGAGAAUGGAGAUGUGCUUCUAAUAGUCUAUAGCUGCAGCAAACUGAAAAACAAAACAUAUAUUGUUGUGCUAAGCAAUUUUAAAAUGAACAGUGCUGAAAGAGGGAGCAUAUUUUAAAACAAAAUAUCAAAGCAUAAAGAUAUAAGCUGAAAACCAGGUGGUUGUUCUUCUAAAAAAAAAUCUUAAGCAACUUUUGAAUAUGUGUACUAUUGCCCUCUGCUGGACAAAUUGGUACUGUGAGCAAUAUUGUGCUUGAUAAGGUGCUUUUUCUGUUCAGAAAACACUUUUAUGAUUUAUGAAAUAAUAAGGGAUUAAGUCUAAAUGGCAAGGACAGAUGGAGCAAUGGGCUUAGGAUCACUCAAUAAUUGUCCCCAGUUGAUAGGUUUGCGUUUACAAUAAAAUAAAACCUUAUCCAGGAUAAUGCAGCUUCCAUGUAAUUUGUCAAUUAAAACAAACAAAUAAUGUAGCAGGGCGCUGGCAGGAAGGCAUGGUGGGUUUUCAUUUGGUCCAUACAAAUCUUUAGAAGAGGAUCCGCAGGAAACAUUUCUUGUGGUUCAUGUGGAAAGAUACAAAGGGUCAUCAGGACAAAAUGAAACUUAGUGGUGAUGCCCUUUAAACACUCUGAAGCUUUUUCUGUCCAUCCAGGCAUAAAGGCAGCUUGAGGUCCUGAGGAUUUGGCGUUCGGGUGAAUUGAAACCUACUGUGAAAUUGCAGAGAAGCAUGACAGAUGCUGUGGCCAUUUCCAACCACACCUAGAUUGCUUUCCCUAUUGCAUCAGGCAAUGCAAAGCCGGUCUAGAGGCUGUGGCAUGUACUACUAAUGCCAUUUGGUGUGCACUAGAACCUAGAACAGAGAUGGCCAGUGUUUGGGGGCCUGUGAGCAGCUUUGCAAACUGAAUAACUUGUCACAGGUACCACACACACUGCAACUUGCAGCCUUUUCUGUUCAGGAAUGCUACUCUGAAGCCUCAUUUCGGCAGGGCAUGGGACCCUGUGGGUGCCAGAAAGACAUCUGUGGGCACAUGGGUGCUCCUGACUGCUGCACUGAUGAGCCCGGACUAGAGGCUACCUGUUUCAGAUUGCACAGCAUGGAUCAGAUCAUUUUGGCCAUCUCUCUCCCAGGUUCCAUAAAGCAUAGCUUCAACACUGAGGUUGCAGAGGGCAAAGGAGGUAUUGAUACUCACAGGAUCAAUGAGCAGCUCUUCACUGUAUGUUGCAUUAUGCUUGUAUGGCAGUCUGCAUUGUGCAUCAUCACUGGAAUAUGCCAAGGUCCAGAGGCCUCUCUCAUUAUCAGACUCUGGGAUAACAAAUCAGAUGGCCAGCAGGUGUCUGGAAAACGAAUGUGAACUGACAAGGCUCACUUUUCCCUUUUGUCUACUGAGGUUAUACUAUCAAGAGUCCCUUUGCAGCUGCCUCUGGACUCUGGAUGAUCAGAGGUGUAUGGAAGGUGUGUUUGGUCAAACUGUUCAUCCUAUCCAAGCACAUUAUGUGUAUGUAAUGGACCUACUAUGAACACAGAACAAUAUUUCACAGCCUAAAAGGGCCAUAAACAUGACACUAACAAUGCAGCUAUACAUCACUGAUUGGCAGUACCAGGAGGUUUGCUGUCACUGGUGGUGGAGGAGAAAUUCAUGGUUGCAAAGGCAAAGGUGUAAAUAUGAAGAGCUGCUUAUUGAAAGCCGGCAGUAAUCUCCUAAUAUGUUUCAAUAAGUGGAUUAGAAUUUGGAAAUUUUAGAUAAAGCUGUCAGGUUGCAGACUUGCGCUGUAAUAAAUCCUGAGCUCCAUUCCAUCGUCUUAAUAGGGAGAAAAGCUAGCUAGCCUUUCUGUUUCUUAAUAAUACCUCGUGUAGAAGAAUUUCUGAGUUCUUACCAUAUGAAUAUGAAGCGGAUGUGAAACUCAGUUUGUGGGUGCUACUUUUAAAGGCUGUGAUACACAGCAAACAUUGCAAACACUAUGUUUUAAUAAUGCAGGGCAGCUGUUAUAUAAGGCUGACAUCUUAGGCAUGGCUACAGUCCCACUGUAUUUUUCCAAGUAACUAGAAUUUGGCUAUAAGCCUAAGAACCACACAGAACAUUCUUCUGAGACAUACAAGGCCCCCAUUCUACUUUUUUCUAGGCUUCUGAUCAGGUUAUUGCCCCACUCUUCACAAACCUUGCGGAGCAAACUCACUUGAUCCCUUGGACAUUGUCUUGCUUCACACACUGCCACGUCCAACUCUGAGGCACGUCAGCUUUUCCUUCUCUCUGUUCUACUCUGACAUGGGCGAGAGGAGUGAUUACGGAGCAGUUGGUUCAUUUGACUGUAGUUCCUUAGUAGAGCUCAUGCUUUGCAUGUAAAAGAUCCCAAGUUAGGGUGGUCACAUGUCCUACCUUACAAGAUACAGUCCUCAGUUUGAAGGGCUGUCGAGAUCAAGCCCAGUUUUAAAUAAGGGACCAUAAGAAAGGAAAGCAGCACAAGUGCUCCAGAAUAAUGAGUGCUUGGGCAGCAGACUGAGUCGAUGCUCGGGUCAUCUGGCCUUGCCUCCUAUGGUGAGAUGUGUUGCAUUUCUGUGUGUAAAUUAUACCAGCAUGUGCAACUGUUCUGCAAAUAUGUCACCUUUUGUCCUCUUUUUCUGGUGAUGCAUGUGUGGCUGCUCUAUCUUUCUUGUUCAAUCCCUGCCACCUCCAUUUUAAAAUGAGUCCUAUAAUUGAAAGCCCUGUGCAAGAACUUCUGUUUGCACGAAGGUAUUUGCCCCUCUUCCUCUGUGUGCUCCCAAAAUUGACUUUUUUUUGCAGGGUGUGUGUGUGUCUGGAGAAUCAGCAAAUUGGUGUACAGGCAAGAAGAGAGAGUAUCAUUUCAUCUGGCAAGCCAAAAUGCUUGUCCUGACAGAACAAUCACCUUAGAGCAAUGCUGAAUUCUUCUCAGUGAGUGGACAUCCUUAUACAUAUGGACCUAAUACACAGGCUCAAUAAUAAGAAUGUCAAAAGCACACAUCACUUUGUCUCUUUGCUAUAUACAGGCAACAACCUAUUUGUGUGUGAUUGCACACAUGCACAUGGUGCUGAACCCAGAAGUGACCCUAAAAUGUCACUAAAAGGGCAGAAUGGUAGCAGAAUGGAACGCUUUACAAGGUCACUGCUGACAUGCACAGGGUCCAGAAUGUAACCCCCGUGCAAAAUGAGGAUUGCCUGUAAAAACAAUGACUCUUGACAGUGUGGUUGCAGUGGAUUAUAACAAGUAUCUCCUAAAAUGGUUUUUUUUACACUUGCUCCAAACCACGUCUUCAUACUGUGAAACUUCCCUCUGGCCUCUUUAGUUUUAUUAUAAGGCUGAGGAAAUGAACACACUAGUCUUUACUGUAUCCUAACUGGAUAUGCAUGUUCAAGACUUGCACUUUCUUCAUUUUCUUGAACUUCUAAGGAGCACCUUCUGUUCAGCUCAAAACUUAGUUUUAACCAUCUCAUUAUAGGAGGAGAGGAAGAAACACGCACCUUAAUUUUAAAUUGUAGUUAGGAUACCAUCAACCACAUGUCUCUGGUGUAAACAUCUUGCUGCAUAUUCCAAAUUUAUACCAAGAAGAGAAUGCCCAAAAUAAUGCCAUUUUGAAGCAUAAAGCUUGAGGGCGGCAGGACAGCAGAGGGAGAGGACUUAUCCAAACUUCCUUUUGUGCUACAUUUCUAGGCACAGAUCCAUGUUUUAAAACUUCUUGUCCAAGUGAUAUAUAUAUAUGUAUCCCCAGCACUUUCUCCAUGGAAAUCUCCUCUUUACCGCUAAAUGGGAUCAAAUGGUGAUCCACAGAAAACUCGGAAUUGCUGUUUGUUCCAAUUCACCAUUAAAGAGCCACUUUCCCUCUGGAAAGCAAAGUGGCAAAAACAGCACACUCAGACAUACAGGUUUGAAGCACGGAACUGUGCCUAGAAAGCACAGGACAAAAGGUAAGUGUGGAUGAGCCAGAGAGAGAGGAAAUGGUUGGCCUAGUGCAGUACAGCAGGCCAGUGGCCAGGACAGGAAAAAGAUGGGUGGCCAGUUCUCCACAAAACCAUUGGCACAAGCUGGCUAAAGCCCACAUGAAACAGCUGCUUCAUGCGUUGGCUGUGCUAAUCUUGUUUCAUGCAGGUGUUGCCAUUGGCAGAAUUACAUUUUUGUGUUGCCUAUACAAGCAAUCCUCUGUGGUUUAGCAGUGGUGAUCUUAAACAUGCUGCACAUAAGGAGGGAGCUAACAGAUAAAGCUAUUCCAGAAGGCCACCACAUGGCCGGAUGAUUGUGAGAAGUAACCUCCAGAUUCCUAUAGGUUUUCAUUUAGACUCAUGAACAUCCAUGCCUCCAUUAGCACUGCAAGCAAUUGCAAAAGGUCAUGCAGUCUCGCCUGACACUGUUUUGCCUAAGAUAGUGAUGGGGAACCCAUUGUUCUCCAGUCCUAGCCUGCAUAGCCAAAUACUCAGGGCGUAUGGGAAUUGUAGUGCAGCUACAUCUAUAGGGGCACAGGUUCUCCGCCCAUUUCUGCCAUCAUGAAAUACGCAGAAACAAAACUUUGUUGUUCUGCAAAUGUAAGGCUGAAACCGACUGAAAUUCAAUACAGAAAUGAAAAAUCCAGAUCCUGGGUGGUUGUUUCUAAGCACUCAUAAUAUGUCUUGAUUACUAUGUUGUGUGUAUAUAAGACACCAUAGAAUAACAAUUUGAUUUUUAGAAUCAAGUUGUACUGGAAAAGGUUGAUGCCAGUACCUAAUGUUCUGUCUGCAGAACAAAAAUAAUGUAAUGCAUCAGAAUAUGUAAAAACACACGCAGGCUAGUCUGCCCCCACCACUCUCCCUUCUUGAGAAAGUUUUGCUGUAAUGGUAAUUUAUGAUUGCAUGAGAUACUUGGUUUUAAAUGCCACUCUUAAAUGCAAAUAGUGCACUAGAUCACGUAUGGCCAUUGCCAGGAUCUCCAGGUCUCAUGGUUGAAGCGUUUUACCUGGUUCCAGAUUUUUGCCAGGUUUUUUUUUUUUUUUUUUGAGAUCUCACACUUCUGGAUCCAACAGAUUGCAGACCAAGAAUUGGCUGUGGUCUUCUCUGCCACAAUCUGCAAUGAUUAUUUUCUCUUGUGAUUUAAUUAUUUAUUCCCACGUUAAUGUUCCCAUAGCAAUGUUAGCUCUGCCACAAUGCACAUAUGUAGCAUUAUCAAGAACUGCUAAUUUAUGCUUGUCUACAUGCUGGGACUCUGAUAGGCGCUGGUGUGUUUUUUUAAUAAAAAAAGCCCACUCGCUUUUUUAUGUGGGAUACUUUUUGAGCAUCGAAUAUGCUUAUCACCGAGCUAUUUCAAGGCCUGCUCUGAAGGGAAUGGUGAGCAGCAGGAGGCACAAGGUGGGGCAUGAGGAGCAGAAGCUGCUUGUUCUGUCCCCUGGAUUUGAAACAGCAGGCACCCCCAGGCUGCCACUAUUUUCUGGAAGAAUUUGACAGAGGCAGAUUUAAGGCAGCAAGACUGGCUCCCCUGCACAGGGCGCUGAGCCAAGGGGGUGCCUUCCUGCCUCCUUCCCAAAGCCUAGUUAGUGCCUUUGUAGCUUUGGGAAGGAGACAGGAGGGCUCUAGGACCCUGCCAGAGCCCUCACACCACUUUCCCAAAGCCUGGCGCCUCUCUUACCCAGUUUUAGAAGGUGGUGUGAGGGCUGAAGUGUGUAUCAAAUUUUGGCCUCACAUAUGGUGCCAUAUUACCAAGGUCCACCCCUAGAAUGGUCAUGUGCUCAAAAAUUCAGGUUGCACGGUUAUAGCUUAUCGGGUGGUCCUGCAAAACAAACCCCUUUCCUUAAAUGAGCAGACUUUUUGUAUUAAGGAAAGUGAUGGGGAAAUACACAGGAAAGUGUGUGAUACUACUUACUGAGACACAUUAUUUAACCUCCCUGCAAACAAACCAGAAGGAAUGCUCCAUAAAUGGUCAACGUGGUCUAACUUCCUUGCAAACAAAUGGGGAUGAAUGCUCAAGAAACAGGUCAUCUGGAAGUGCCCAGUAUUGCUUCAAAAUACCCAAAGUCCUGCCAGUCCUGAAUCUUUGCAAUCUUGUCUACAGUGGCCCUGUGUUUGCAUGCAAAGGUUUAUUAUUAUUAUAUUUAUGGUCCCCAUUUCCUCCAAGAAGUUCAAAGUGGCACACAUGUUUACCCUGCCUUCCUAUUUUGUCCUUAAAACAUGUCUGGAAUUUCUGCAUAAUGUUCAUUGCUGUAGAAAGACAUGAUUAAGAGGUAGAAAUGGCGCUUCUAUGGCAUGAUGGGAAGAUCGCGUGCUCUUGAGCUCUACAGUAUGCAUUUUGCCUUUAAAGGAUAUCUAUAGUACAAACUCAUUCUUUAACAUACUGCUUUUUCCUACUUCCCUUGACUAUUGGAGAGAUGUGAUGAAAUAGUAAAGGUAAAGGUAUGACUCUGGGGUUGCACGCUCAUCUCGCGCUGUAGACCAAGGGAGCUGGCGUUUGUCCGCAGACAGCUUCCGGGUUCUGGGUCAUGUGGCCAGCAUGACUAAGCCGCUUCUGGUGAACCAGAGCAGUGCCUAGAAAUGCACAGACAUGGGUGGCACUGUGGUCUAAACCACAGAGCCUAGGGCUUGAUGAUCAGAAGGUUGGCAGUUUGAAUCCCCAUGACGGGGUGAGCUCCCGUUGUUUGGUCCCUGCUCCUGCCAACCUGGCAGUUUGAAAGCACGUCAAGUGCAAGUAGAUAAAUAGGUACCGCUCCAGCAGGAAGGUAAACGUGAUGAAAUAGAGAGCCUAAAUAACUUGUCCUCAAAGCUUUACAGAGUUCACCAAUGUUGUCACUAGUAAUUAGGUGAGGACAGCUGUUUCUGGACAGCUACAUUGGAAGGAAACUCAACGUGUUUCUAGUGAUAGUUUAGUUCACUAGUGACGACGUACUAUCACUGUCACCUAGGAAAUGAAACAUGUUGCUAUGGGAACCUCAAGGCUGCAUUAUUACACAUUCUCAAAAUGUUGACACUUAGAAAAAACGACCUGUGUGUGUAAUAUAAACAUUCCCAAUAUUUGUCUUUAUCAGUGUUGCAAAAUAAGAAGAUUUCUUUUAUUUGUUUAUGUUUCGCACAGUAUGGUUGGAGAAGCUGGAAUUUGCAGGUGAAAAUGCCUAAAGGCCUCCCAUAUGUGUCCAAAUGCUUCAAACACUUUGGAAGGUUGUGUUGGUGAAAUGUAUGGCAUUGCAAAUAAGUUUCUUGGGGUGUGUAUCUUCCUGGUUGAUUAUUUGCUUUUCCUUGUUGCUGGAAAGGAUGCAGUGUUAAGGAUCAUAUUUCCUUUCUGGUGGGAAAGCCUGCAAAUGGCCUUUGGGCUUUAGUUCACCAAAUAUUAUUCAAAAAUUACAGGGGAUAAUAUAAUUUAUGCACCUGAGUUGUUUUUUGCUAUUACUGUUUUGCAGGCCAAACAAAGACGUUACAUCGAAGGAUUUACUGGUAUUUCUUUUAAUUGUUGUCCAUCAAGCUGUAGUCCAACAGUUGGGGACUUUGGACAAGUUGUCCUUACAGGCUUAGUCUGAGAACAUCUGUUUUAUUGUGAUCUGAGGAAAAAUAACACACAGGAUACAUUUGAUACAAGACAAGAAAAUAACACAAUCACUUAGUGCCAUAUGGUGGGCCCUCAUCUUGUAUACCUCUAAACCGGAUGUACCUGCCAACAGCAGCUGAAGACAUGUGGACAACAUAACAAUCCUUUGUACAAUCAAGCAGACGUUGUAACAUGAUCCAUACAUAAUCUCUUUGUCUCCUGUCUGAUCUCCUCCCCUAUGUUGGGGGAUGUUCUUUAGUUGUUAUUGCACAGUGUGUGUUUUGUUCUUUUUAGACACAAACUCUUUAAUAAUUCAAAAAACGAUGAAUGAAUAAAUAAUAUGGCAUAGUUUACUGGACCUGAAGCAUUUAUGAAUCUCCACGACGCAUUUGUUAGGGUUGCAUUCAACUUGGCACUAAGUAAUUCCUUGUGAAAAUGGAACAGCCUUCACUUGUGCAACUGGACUUAUGCCACGCCUCCCCUGCAUGCCUCCAAAGUUUGUUGUGGGGUUUCCUCACAACCCUAUGGAGCAGGCAUGGCUUUGGGUUGUUGAGUUGUUGUUUUAGGGGGAAUUUAGGG
rnacentral:lncRNA from 1 species